rnacentral:rRNA from 1 species
UUCCGGUNGAUCCUGCCGGACCUGACUGCUAUCGGAUUGAUACUAAGCCAUGCGAGUCAUUGUAGCAAUACAAGGCAGACGGCUCAGUAACGCGUAGUCAAUCUACCCUAUGGACGGGAAUAAUCUCGGGAAACUGAGAAUAAUGCCCGAUAGAACAUUAUACUUGGAAUGGUUUAUGUCUCAAAUGAUUUAUCGCCAUAGGAUGGGACUGCGGCCUAUCAGUUUGUUGGUGAGGUAAUGGCCCACCAAGACUAUUACAGGUACGGGCUCUGAGAGGAGUGGCCCGGAGAUGGGUACUGAGACACGGACCCAGGCCCUAUGGGGCGCAGCAGGCGAGAAAACUUUGCAAUGUGCGAAAGCACGACAAGGUUAAUCCGAGUGGUUUCUGCUAAAGAAACCUUUUGUCAGUCCUAGAAACACUAACGAAUAAGGGGUGGGCAAGUUCUGGUGUCAGCCGCCGCGGUAAAACCAGCACCCCAAGUGGUCAGGAUGAUUAUUGGGCCUAAAGCAUCCGUAGCUCGUUUUGUAAGUUUUCGGUUAAAUCCAUACGCUUAACGUAUGGGCUGCCGGGAAUACUGCAUAACUAGGAAGUGGGAGAGGUAGACGGUACUCGGUAGGAAGGGGUAAAAUCCUUUGAUCUAUUGAUGACCACCUGUGGCGAAGGCGGUCUACCAGAACACGUUCGACGGUGAGGGAUGAAAGCUGGGGGAGCAAACCGGAUUAGAUACCCGGGUAGUCCCAGCUGUAAACUAUGCAAACUCAGUGAUGCAUUGGCUUGUGGCCAAUGCAGUGCUGCAGGGAAGCCGUUAAGUUUGCCGCCUGGGAAGUACGUACGCAAGUAUGAAACUUAAAGGAAUUGGCGGGGGAGCACCACAAGGGGUGAAGCCUGCGGUUCAAUUGGAUUCAACGCCGGAA